rnacentral:rRNA from 1 species
GAUGAACGCUAGCUACAGGCUUAACACAUGCAAGUCGCGGGGCAGCAUGAAGGAUGCUUGCAUCCUUUGAUGGCGACCGGCGCACGGGUGAGUAACGCGUAUCCAACCUGCCUGUUACCACGGCACAGCCCGUCGAAAGGCGGAUUAAUGCCGUAUGUGGUCUUGAAAGGGCAUCUGAUCAUGACUAAAGGUUCAGCGGUAACGGAUGGGGAUGCGUCCGAUUAGCUAGACGGCGGGGUAACGGCCCACCGUGGCUACGAUCGGUAGGGGUUCUGAGAGGAAGGUCCCCCACACUGGAACUGAGACACGGUCCAGACUCCUACGGGAGGCAGCAGUGAGGAAUAUUGGUCAAUGGGCGUAAGCCUGAACCAGCCAAGUAGCGUGAGGGAAGACUGCCCUAUGGGUUGUAAACCUCUUUUGUGCGGGGAUAAAGUGAGGGACGUGUCCCUUAUGCAGGUAC